rnacentral:misc_RNA from 1 species
UCCCCGUUACCGGGGCAGUCUAGCUAGAGAAAUUCAACUAACUAUAAGGGUUGCGCUCGUUGAUGGACUUAACCAAACAUCUCACGACACGAGCUGACGACGGCCAUGCAUCACCUGUCACUGGAUUCCCGAAGGCACAGUCUCCUUUCGGAGACCUUCCCAGGAUGUCAAACCUUGGUAAGGUUCUACGCUUAUCGUCGAAUUAAACAACACGCUCCACCGCUUGUGCGGGUCCCCGUCAAUUCCUUUAUGUUUUAAGCUUGCGCUCGUACUCCACAGGCGGGAUGCUUAACGCGUUAGCUUCGCUACUACCGGGGUCGAUACCGAUAACAGCUAGCAUCCAUCGUUUACGGCGUGGACUAC